rnacentral:rRNA from 1 species
CCCUUAGAUGUUCUGGGCUGCACGCGCGCUACACUGAAGCUAUCAACACGUUUUCCCUCCCUGAGAAGGGCGGGUAACCUUUUGAAUCAGCUUCGUGGUAGGGAUCGGGGCUUGCAAUUGUUCCCCGUGAACCAGGAAUUCCUAGUAGACGCGAGUCAUAAGCUCGCAUCGAUUAAGUCCCUGCCCUUUGUACACACCGCCCGUCGCUACUACCGUUUGAACGUUUUAGUGAGGCAUUUGGACCGACGCAUCUCAGUUUAACCGCUGGUUUGUGUUGGAAAGACUUCCAAACUUGAGCGUUUAGAGGAAGUAAAAGUCGUAACA